UACGUAGGGGGCGAGCGUUGUCCGGAUUUACUGGGCGUAAAGAGCGCGCAGGCGGUCGUUCAAGUCGGGUGUGAAAGCCCCCGGCUCAACUGGGGAGGGUCACGCGAUACUGAUCGACUCGAAGGCAGGAGAGGGAAGUGGAAUUCCCGGUGUAGUGGUGAAAUGCGUAGAUAUCGGGAGGAACACCAGUGGCGAAGGCGACUUCCUGGCCUGUUCUUGACGCUGAGGCGCGAAAGCUAGGGGAGCAAACGGG
rnacentral:rRNA from 1 species